UUGACAAAGCCAAGGGAUUCAGGGUGUGGAAAUCUCCACCUGCUUCUUUCAUUGAGGGUAGCAGUACUGGAGCCAAGCAUGGUUCUGGGGGGUUCUUGCUGGUCUGAUACUGGGGAGAGAGAAGGAUCAAAAAGCCAGGAAGUGGGAUGUUAGCUAUCUUGGGAUAGAAGGAGGAUGUUAAGCAGGGAAAAGACAGGCUGCAAAGAGAGGUAGGAAAGGAUGGAUGUGCCUGAUUUGGGACAGGUUAGUAAAAUAAAACAGAGCAGACCACCUGAGGACAUGGCUGUGGAGGAAAGAAAGAACCCGUGCAUGCAGUGCGGAGAGUGCUGCAGUACAAUAAUAUUUCCUUUUUCUUCCAGAUAACCAAAAUAAAUAAUCAGAAGAAAACAGGAGGCAGGAAAAACAACAUCAUUGAGAAGAGAGAGGACUUUGCUCAAUUUCACACCAGUUUCAGACAUCAUGCCGGCUCUGGUUCCAGUCCUCCCUGGCUGAUCUCGGCCACUUUUCUAUUACAUAUCAUUCAUUGCUCUCUAGAGGCACUGUGGGGAAGAAACCAUUUGAGGACGCUGUAAGCCUGGCAGCACGGAGAAGCCCUCAGUUCUUCAAUAUUGAUAUACCUGCAGCUGUCAACAUUUGGUUUGUUUUAAAGCAGAGACUUGAAGUCAUUUCCAUAUUUAUGAACACAAACAGGCUCACUGUCAUCCCAUGGCUAUGGACACCUGAGUAUGAAGAAGAUCCUUUUUUAAGGAACAGGACAAAUGGAAAGACAGACAUUACUGACCUCUGAGACUAAAAACUUCAAAAUUUUAAAUCAAACUGUUCAAUUCUCUGAUGUUUCCUCACAAAUUUUGUGUUUUAUUUCCUUCCCCAACAUGAGAUACCUCACUCCUUUAUUCCCAUCAAAGCUUUUUUUCCUCCAGCUUUGAGUCCAUGACUGUUAUUACCCCUUUUUUCCAGGCCCUCUGGCAACUACCAUUACCAUAUUUGCCCCCUUUUUUUGGAAUAUUUUACAUACCACAUUCAAGGCAAGCAGAAUGUCACAUAUUCCCAACCAUAUUCACUAAGACAUUUUUUCUAAAGAAAUUAAAGACCCCUGAAUUCACUAUCCAGUCUUCUCCUGAAGUUUGUUCUUCAUUUGCUCUGCAAUACCCAAAACCUCACCCCUGAUUCCCCUUAAUAGUAAUACAAACUAACACGUUCAACAGGAUGUUUUCAAAUUUGAAUGUGUCAAAGCCUUUGAUGAAGCAGAUUUUUACUUCAUUUUUCUUAAUAAACCCAUAAAUAGCUUGCUGCUGCUCGGUAGAUCACUUAACACAUGUCUAGGCAUACUAAUAGCAAUCCCCAAACAAGACUCCAGACAAGAUUCAAUUUUAGCAUCUUCUACCCUAUCUUUCCAGAGAUGUUACUUUCUCAGCAUGCUUCUGACUCACCAAGGUGUCAGCCCUCUUCCUAAAUAAGCUUUUGCCAGGCAGAACAAUCUCUUCUGGCUGUGGUCUCCCAGUUCCUCUUUCUAAGACCUUUGCAGGAGAAUCUGCUUGGCUCCAGAAGGAGAUAACUGAGAGUUAACCAUCCUCCUUGAUUUUUCUGGUAACAUGAAGUGUACAUACCUCAUCACAGCUUUUCAGUAUCUGACUUCCUUCUGGUUUCUUCCUACUUUCUUGUACAAUCCUAGAAAGUGUGCCUUCUUGACAAUCCCCUACAUCUCUUCUUGCCUCUUCCUAUGCCGGGCUCAGGUCAUUCCGUGGUUUUACAGUCUCCUGCUACAUACCUGCAUCCCUUCCACUCCUGGCUUCAAUGAUUUGCAACAGCAAUCAGUCAGUUUGCAAAGGCAAUGCAAUAAACCAUCUGUAUGUGAGCAUGGCAUAACCAGUAGCUAUAGUAACAGGAAAGCACACUUUAAACAAAAAAUGAAAAACAAACAAAAAAAUAUGAGCGAUAUCGCUCAUCUUUUCCUCCAUCCCCAAAUAUUGCAUGGCUCCAUAAAUAUCCCCUUGUGUUCCUUCACCUAAUUACAUCUUCCCCCUAGCCCAAAAGAGAGUGAGAUACAAAUAAAACUUUAUUUUGCUUGGUUGAAGGAGGAAAAAUAAAUAAAUAAUAACAUACAACAAAACUAGAAAGAAAAGCUUGUCUCUUUCCAGAAGAGAAGAAAAAAUAAAUCUGUAAGUUGCAAAUCCAGGACAGGCAAAAUUGUCACUAUCCCUGUUCUGCCUUAUUUGCUGAUACAGGAUCAGCCUUAGGACCCUUGUGGGCUGUGAAAUUAAUUUCCAUUGCUCCUUUUUUUGUCUUGUUUCCUCAGUAAUCUCCCCUGCCUGCAAUGAACCAUCAGCAUGACCACUGUCUCUCAGUUCCAUCUCACAUGUAAGGGUACUGCAUAGUAUUUAUUCUUACUCCUCAAAAAGAUGGAUGGGGUGCAGAUGUGAGGCUCACACUUUUGAGUUACAAAUGGGUCUUCAGGGCAGCAUUGCCAAAGGCUUCAUCCAGGGCUGAGGCAUCAUUGACUGACUGCCCCAAUCCCCAAAUCCUGAGCAUGGGGGUGGGUUCACAGGGCCUUGGCACCCAGCAUGGGAGCCAGCCCUGGGGAUGCGAAUUCUGAGGAGCCUCCCUGCUGUGCUGGACACACACACACACAAACAGCCCCUGUAAAGCAGCUCCCACCUGAGGCAGCUCUGUGGGUGCAGAUCCCCAGGGAUCCAACUGGGAGCAGUUUGGGAAGUUAGCAAGGGUUGGACAUUUUCCCCAGCAUGGUGCUGUGCUGUCUACAGAGAUCACUUCAGACUCUGCAGCAGUAAGGCCACGUGUUGGUACUCGUGACACAUCUCACUGCUACACAGAGCUGGAGAGCAACUUCUAAUAAUGCAGAAUAGCAUGGGGAACUUUUAAAACACAGAUAUGAAAAGAACCUUCUGCAAGUUCUUGAGAAGAGCUCUUGAAUCUGAGUGGACUGAAUCAAGGUAUUAUAGAAAAUAUGGGGGUUUUUUAACCAUUCCUCUAGAGCCUGUGUAGGUGGACUUCCACAGAAAAGACCAAAAUAGACUCAGGGCCUCAGCUUACUUUAGCACUAAAAAGGUCAGCAGGGUGCAAAACAUUGUUCAGUAAAUUAUAGCACUUAUACCUGUGUCACACAUUUUCAUUCCUGCUUUUUGAAAUACGCAUGUCAAAAUAGAUAAACAAUACAGACUCAGUUCAUACCCCAGAAAAUUAUUUUAUAUAAAUUAAAAGAAACGAACUUUGUUUACUGCAGUAUUACCUUCCAAAAAAUUAUUUUUUUCUUAUUUGACACUUCCUUCCUUGAGGGAGUAGAACUAUUCCAUAUAUCUCUUAAAUGCAUACAAAUUUGUUAAUGUUCUCAAUAAAACCCACCUGAAAUAGAUUUCCUUCUAAUCAGUGAAGUAAGUACCCAUGCAAUAAUUAUUAUUAUGCCUGAUUCAAUUUUAUACAUUGACAUCUCUCCAUUGUUCUUGAUUAAUGGUUAAA